rfam:Schistosoma rodhaini strain Burundi genome assembly, scaffold: SROB_scaffold0010163
AGUUAAGGCUGAAGAGUCCCAAAUAGAACGAAACGCGUGUCCUGAAU